CCUAUGGACAUGCGUGUCACGCUGCUUCCCUACUGGACAGGCGUGUCGCUCUCUGCUUCCCUAUGGACAUGCGUGUCACUCUGCUUCCCUACUGGACAUGCGUAUCACUCUCUGCUUCCCUGUGGACAUGUG
rnacentral:lncRNA from 1 species